rnacentral:rRNA from 1 species
ACGUACACUCCUGCGGGAGGCAGCAGUGGGGAAUAUUGGACAAUGGGCGCAAGCCUGAUCCAGCCAUGCCGCGUGAGUGAUGAAGGCCCUAGGGUUGUAAAGCUCUUUCACCGGUGAAGAUAAUGACGGUAACCGGAGAAGAAGCCCCGGCUAACUUCGUGCCAGCAGCCGCGGUAAUACGAAGGGGGCUAGCGUUGUUCGGAUUUACUGGGCGUAAAGCGCACGUAGGCGGACUAUUAAGUCAGGGGUGAAAUCCCGGGGCUCAACCCCGGAACUGCCUUUGAUACUGGUAGUCUUGAGUUCGAGAGAGGUGAGUGGAAUUCCGAGUGUAGAGGUGAAAUUCGUAGAUAUUCGGAGGAACACCAGUGACGAAGGCGGCUCACUGGCUCGAUACUGACGCUGAGGUGCGAAAGCGUGGGGAGCAAACAGGAUUAGAUACCCUAGUAGUCCCAUGA